UAAACAAUAGCUUGUUGAAAGAUUUUGGCUUCCUUCCAUCCUAUUGUGUGUAAAUAUUAAUUUUUACUUGUUGCUUUAGGUACUAAGGUUUCUUCUUUCAAAUGCAAGAUGGUGGCUGGACGAAUACAAGUUUGAUGGGUUCAGAUUUGAUGGUGUGACUUCAAUGAUGUACACCCAUCAUGGGUUGCAGGUAGCAUUUACUGGAAACUACAAUGAGUAUUUCGGAUAAGCAACUGAUGUAGAUGCUGUUGUUUAUCUGAUGCUGGUUAAUCAUAUGAUUCAUGGGCUACAUCCUGAGGCUGUCACCAUUGGUUAGGAUAAUGAGUUUGGUGUCUGGGAGAUCUUUUGGCCUAAUAAUGCUGAUUAUUCACCACCAAUUCCCCAUGGUUCUCA